GAUGAACGCUGGCGGCGUGCCUAAUACAUGCAAGUCGAGCGAACGGACGAGAAGCUUGCUUCUCUGAUGUUAGCGGCGGACGGGUGAGUAACACGUGGAUAACCUACCUAUACGACUGGGAUAACUUCGGGAAACCGGAGCUAAUACCGGAUAAUAUUUUGAACCGCAUGGUUCAAAAGUGAAAGACGGUCUUGCUGUCACUUAUAGAUGGAUCCGCGCUGCAUUAGCUAGUUGGUAAGGUAACGGCUUACCAAGGCAACGAUGCAUAGCCGACCUGAGAGGGUGAUCGGCCACACUGGAACUGAGACACGGUCCAGACUCCUACGGGAGGCAGCAGUAGGGAAUCUUCCGCAAUGGGCGAAAGCCUGACGGAGCAACGCCGCGUGAGUGAUGAAGGUCUUCGGAUCGUAAAACUCUGUUAUUAGGGAAGAACAUAUGUGUAAGUAACUGUGCACAUCUUGACGGUACCUAAUCAGAAAGCCACGGCUAACUACGUGCCAGCAGCCGCGGUAAUACGUAGGUGGCAAGCGUUAUCCGGAAUUAUUGGGCGUAAAGCGCGCGUAGGCGGUUUUUUAAGUCUGAUGUGAAAGCCCACGGCUCAACCGUGGAGGGUCAUUGGAAACUGGAAAACUUGAGUGCAGAAGAGGAAAGUGGAAUUCCAUGUGCAGCGGUGAAAUGCGCAGAGAUAUGGAGGAACACCAGUGGCGAAGGCGACUUUCUGGUCUGUAACUGACGCUGAUGUGCGAAAGCGUGGGGAUCAAACAGGAUUAGAUACCCUGGUAGUCCACGCCGUAAACGAUGAGUGCUAAGUGUUAGGGGGUUUCCGCCCCUUAGUGCUGCAGCUAACGCAUUAAGCACUCCGCCUGGGGAGUACGACCGCAAGGUUGAAACUCAAAGGAAUUGACGGGGACCCGCACAAGCGGUGGAGCAUGUGGUUUAAUUCGAAGCAACGCGAAGAACCUUACCAAAUCUUGACAUCCUUUGACAACUCUAGAGAUAGAGCUUUCCCCUUCGGGGGACAAAGUGACAGGUGGUGCAUGGUUGUCGUCAGCUCGUGUCGUGAGAUGUUGGGUUAAGUCCCGCAACGAGCGCAACCCUUAAGCUUAGUUGCCAUCAUUAAGUUGGGCACUCUAAGUUGACUGCCGGUGACAAACCGGAGGAAGGUGGGGAUGACGUCAAAUCAUCAUGCCCCUUAUGAUUUGGGCUACACACGUGCUACAAUGGACAAUACAAAGGGCAGCGAAACCGCGAGGUCAAGCAAAUCCCAUAAAGUUGUUCUCAGUUCGGAUUGUAGUCUGCAACUCGACUACAUGAAGCUGGAAUCGCUAGUAAUCGUAGAUCAGCAUGCUACGGUGAAUACGUUCCCGGGUCU
rnacentral:rRNA from 1 species